CUGUCCUCCUCUAGGGGCGCGUCAAGUCCCAGCCGGGGUCGCCUCCCGCUCAGAAACGAAACACCGCGUAUCUGGGGCCAAGGGGGCACCCGAGGACCCUAUGGCUGAGGGCAGGAAAACUCGGGGGCACCCGAGCCCCAGGCCUCCGGGCUUGGGCCUGCACAUAGAGCGCCCGCCAAAGGGUUUGGAAACGUCUGAAUCCCCAGGUAGGGAAACCAAAGCAGAGGUUGAUCCUGGAGCUUUGAAGAUGUCAUUUAGUGUGAAAGCUGGAGUUACGGCACACUUUUUUCCUGGUCCUUGAUCAGACUAUUCAGAAAUCAUAUAUAGAACUGAGAAGAACUGCAGUCUUAUGAAGGUGAGAACUGUAUCUCUGCUCAGAUUUCUGCAUUUCUUGGGGAAUGAAUGGUGAAUGCUGCUAGCUUGUCAAUUAACAUAUUUCUGGUUGUGUCCCACUCUUUUGUAUUAGUUGAGCAGCUCUGGGGUUAAACUCUUGAAUGUUUAAUUAACUAAUUGUGAAAAUGUGUGGCAAAUGUACCUUAUCUGACAAAGGGUGUUGGUACCCGAAAGCUUGCAAAGAAGAUUUUUUCCAACUAUCUUAGUUGGUCUAAUAAAAGAUAUCAGUUUA